GGGCCCGCACAAGCGGUGGAGUAUGUGGUUUAAUUCGAUGCAACGCGAAGAACCUUACCAGGGUUUGACAUCCUGCGAAUCUCUUGGAAACAGGAGAGUGCCUUCGGGAACGCAGUGACAGGUGGUGCAUGGCUGUCGUCAGCUCGUGUCGUGAGAUGUUGGGUUAAGUCCCGCAACGAGCGCAACCCACGUCUUUAGUUGCCAGCAUUUAGUUGGGCACUCUAGAGAGACUGCCGGUGAUAAACCGGAGGAAGGUGUGGAUGACGUCAAGUCCUCAUGGCCCCUUAUAGGUGGGGCUACACACGUCAUACAAUGGCUGGUACAAAGGGUUGCCAACCCGCGAGGGGGAG
rnacentral:rRNA from 1 species